UAGGGAAUCUUCGGCAAUGGGGGGAACCCUGACCGAGCAACGCCGCGUGAGUGAAGAAGGUUUUCGGAUCGUAAAGCUCUGUUGUUAAGGAAGAACGAGUGUGAGAAUGGAAAGUUCAUACUGUGACGGUACUUAACCAGAAAGGGACGGCUAACUACGUGCCAGCAGCCGCGGUAAUACGUAGGUCACGAGCGUUGUCCGGAUUUAUUGGGCGUAAAGCGAGCGCAGGCGGUUAGAUAAGUCUGAAGUUAAAGGCAGUGGCUCAACCAUUGUAGGCUUUGGAAACUGUUUAACUUGAGUGCAGAAGAGGAGAGUGGAAUUCCAUGUGUAGCGGUGAAAUGCGUAGAUAUAUGGAGGAACACCAGUGGCGAAGGCGACUAUCUGGUCUGUAACUGACGCUGAGGCUCGAAAGCGUGGGUAGCAAACAGG
rnacentral:rRNA from 1 species